GUUUGAUCUCAGACUGCUGUGCUAGCAAUCAGCGAGACUCCGUGGGCGUAGGACCCUCCGAGCCAGUGAGAUGAACCCGGUACCUCAGAUGGAAAUGCAGAAAUCACCCGUCUUCUGCGUCGCUCAACGCUGGGAGCUGUAGACCGGAGCUGUUCCUAUUCGGCUAUCUUGGCUCCUCCCCCUGGCUGUGGGUUUCUUAUAGAUGGCUUUUAUUACAUUGAGGUGGAGCCAGGGCGUGUGAUGGGAGCACGGGGCCUGAGCUGCAGCAUAAGUUUCCUCUGAUUUUCAACCUGGAAGACGAUACCGCAGAAGCUGUGCCCCUAGAAAGAGGUGGUGCGGAGUACCAGGCUGUGCUGCCCGAGGUCAGAAAGGUUCUUGCAGACGUCCUCCAAGACAUUGCCAACGACAACAUCUCCAGCGCAGAUUACACUCAGGACCCUUCAGUAACUCCCUGCUGUAAUCCCUACCAAAUUGCCUGCCGCUGUCAAGCCGCAUAACAGACCAAUUUUUAUUCCACGAGGAGGAGUACCUGGAAAUUAGGCUGGAGUGCAGUGGCGUGAUCUCGGCUCACU
rnacentral:lncRNA from 10 species